AAUCUUCCACAAUGGGCGAAAGCCUGAUGGAGCAACGCCGCGUGAGUGAAGAAGGUUUUCGGAUCGUAAAACUCUGUUGCAAGGGAAGAAAAAGUACAGUCGUAACUGGCUGUACCUUGACGGUGCCUUAUUAUAAAGCCACGGCUGACUACGUUCCGGUCGCCGCGGUAAUCCGUAGUUGGCAAGGGUUGUCCGGAAUUAGUGGGCGUAAAGCGCGCGCAGGCGGUCCUUUAAGUCUGAUGUGAAAGCCCACGGCUAAACCGUGGAGGGUCAUUGGAAACUGGGGGACUUGAGUGCAGAAGAGGAAAGUGGAAUUCCAAGUGUAGCGGUGAAAUGCGUAGAGAUUUGGAGGAACACCAGUGGCGAAGGCGACUUUCUGGUCUGUAACUGACGCUGAGGCGCGAAAGCGUGGGGAGCAAACA
rnacentral:rRNA from 1 species